rnacentral:rRNA from 1 species
CCUACUGGUGGCAGCAGUGGGGGAUAUUGCACAAUGGGGGAAACCCUGAUGCAGCGACGCCGCGUGAGUGAAGAAGUAUUUCGGUAUGUCAAGCUCUAUCAGCAGGGAAGAAAAUGACAGUACCUGAACAAGAAGCCACGGCUAACUACGUGCCAGCAGACGAGGUAAUACGUAGGGGGCAAGCGUUAACCGGAUUUCAUGGGUGUAAAGGGAGGGUAGACGGGUAAGUAAGUCUGGAGUUAAAGCCCGGGGCCCAACCCCGGGACUGCUUUGGAAACUGUGUAACUGGAGUACAGGAGGGGUAGGCUGAAUUCCGGGUGUAGCGGGGAAAGGCGUAGAUAUCAGGAGGAACACCGGCGGCGAAGGCGGCCUGCUGGACUGAAACUGACGUUGAGGCUCGAAAGCGUGGGGAGCAAACAGGAUUAGAUACCCCAGUAGUC